AACGAACGUUGGCGGCGUGGAUGAGGCAUGCAAGUCGAACGCGAAAGCCGCAAGGCGAGUAAAGUGGCGGACGGGCGAGUAACACGUAAUCAAGCUACCUGCGAGACGGGGAUAACUUCGGAAACCGAAGCUAAGACCCGAUGGUCUUCUAGGAACGCAUGUUCCAUGAAGUAAAUAGGGCGGGAGUCCUCCGGGAGUCGCCUGCUCGCAGAGGUGAUUGCGGCCCAUCAGCUAGUUGGUAGGGUAAUGGCCUACCAAGGCAACGACGGGUAGCCGGCCUUAGAGGUGGUCGGCCGCACUGGACGUGAGACACUGCCCACGACUCCUACGGGAGGCGUGCAGUCGA
rnacentral:rRNA from 1 species